AGAUUGAACGCUGGCGGCAGGCCUAACACAUGCAAGUCGAGCGGCAGCACGGGUACUUGUACCUGGUGGCGAGCGGCGGACGGGUGAGUAAUGCCUAGGAAUCUGCCUGAUAGUGGGGGAUAACGCUCGGAAACGGACGCUAAUACCGCAUACGUCCUACGGGAGAAAGCAGGGGACCUUCGGGCCUUGCGCUAUCAGAUGAGCCUAGGUCGGAUUAGCUAGUUGGUGAGGUAAUGGCUCACCAAGGCGACGAUCCGUAACUGGUCUGAGAGGAUGAUCAGUCACACUGGAACUGAGACACGGUCCAGACUCCUACGGAGCAGCAGUGGGAAUAUUGCACAAGUGGCGCGAAGCCUGAUGCAGCAACGCCGCGUGAGGACGAAGGCCGUUACGGUGUAAACCGUUCGUUUAAGGUAAGGAAGUAA
rnacentral:rRNA from 1 species